GCGGUUAGACGAGAGGCCCAAGUUGACAGCCACCGGCGUAAAGCGUGGUUAGGAUAAAGUUUAGACUAAAGCCGAACGUACACAAAGCUGUUAUACGCAUUCGAAACCGGAAGCCCUUUUACCAAAGUAGCUUUAAAUAACUGAACCCACGAAAGCUAAGAUA
rnacentral:rRNA from 1 species